UCAGAGUACCUCACUUCCCAGUUGCCUCUCC
rnacentral:piRNA from 1 species